rnacentral:rRNA from 1 species
CCUACGGGAGGCUGCAGUGGGGGAUAUUGCACAAUGGGGGAAACCCUGAUGCAGCGACGCCGCGUGAGUGAAGAAGUAUUUCGGUAUGUAAAGCUCUAUCAGCAGGGAAGAAAAUGACGGUACCUGAUCAAGAAGCCCCGGCUAACUACGUGCCAGCAGCCGCGGUAAUACGUAGGGGGCAAGCGUUAUCCGGAUUUACUGGGUGUAAAGGGAGCGUAGACGGUGAUGCAAGUCAGAAGUGAAAGCCCGUGGCUCAACUCCGGGACUGCUUUUGAAACUGUGUGACUGGAGUGCAGGAGAGGUAAGCGGAAGUCCUGGUGUAGCGGUGAAAUGCGUAGAUAUCAGGAGGAACACCAGUGGCGAAGGCGGCUUGCUGGACUGAAACUGACGUUGAGGCUCGAAAGCGUGGGGAGCAAACAGGAUUAGAUACCCCUGUAGUC